rnacentral:rRNA from 1 species
UACGGGAGGCAGCAGUGGGGAAUAUUGCACAAUGGGCGCAAGCCUGAUGCAGCCAUGCCGCGUGUAUGAAGAAGGCCUUCGGGUUGUAAAGUACUUUCAGCGGGGAGGAAGGCGGUGAAGUUAAUAGCUUCACCGAUUGACGUUACCCGCAGAAGAAGCACCGGCUAACUCCGUGCCAGCAGCCGCGGUAAUACGGAGGGUGCAAGCGUUAAUCGGAAUUACUGGGCGUAAAGCGCACGCAGGCGGUCUGUCAAGUCGGAUGUGAAAUCCCCGGGCUUAACCUGGGAACUGCAUUCGAAACUGGCAGGCUAGAGUCUUGUAGAGGGGGUAGAAUUCCAGGUGUAGCGGUGAAAUGCGUAGAGAUCUGGGGGAAUACCGGUGGCGAAGGCGGCCCCUGGGACAAAGCUGACGCUCAGGUGCGAAAGCGUGGGGAGCAAACGAGGAUUAGAUACC